CCUACGGGAGGCAGCAGUAGGGAAUAUUGGGCAAUGGGCGCAAGCCUGACCCAGCCAUGCCGCGUGCCGGAAGAAGGCCCUCUGGGUUGUAAACGGCUUUUGACGGGGAAGAAACGACUCUUGCGAGAGGCAUUGACGGUACCCGCAGAAUAAGCACCGGCUAACUCCGUGCCAGCAGCCGCGGUAAUACGGAGGGUGCAAGCGUUGUCCGGAUUUAUGGGUUUAAAGGUGCGUAGGCGGUCUGGUAAGUCGGCGAUGAAAGCCCGGGGCUCAACCCCGGAACUGUCGUCGAUACUGUCGGACUUGAAUAUGGUGGAGGCUGGCGGAAUGGGCGGUGUAGCGGUGAAAUGCAUAGAUACCGUCCAGAACCCCGAUUGCGAAGGCAGCUGGCUGUACCAUUAUUGACGCUGAGGCACGAAAGCGUGGGGAGCGAACAGGAUUAGAUACCCUGGUAGUCCACGCCGUAAACGAUGGAUACUCGUCGUCGGCGAUAGAUAGUCGGCGACUCNGCGAAGACGGUAGUAUCCACCGCGGAGGACGCCGGCGACGAGAACGACGAAGUAGUAGUUAGACGACGUUGAGACGNGCGACGGACGACGACGAGGGAGGAGG
rnacentral:rRNA from 1 species